rnacentral:misc_RNA from 1 species
AAGUCGUAACAAGGUUUCCGUAGGUGAACCUGCGGAAGGAUCAUUAACAAAUCCAUUUUUCGCGCCAUUGUAGGCAAGCAGGAAAAGGUCGAAACGCCUUAACCGCGCCUCUACCUACCGUGGCCCGGAAUACCUGAUCUCUGGAAACAAAUAGCAAUAUUUUUUUCAGAGGUCAUCACAACAAGUAACCUGGGGUACUUUAGAGUCGAGGCAUGCUUCGGUGUGUCUUUACUUUAGAGCCCUUCUAAUAAUCCCUUUAUUUUACCAUUUUACCCCUUUAAACUAUUAAGACUGAUAUGACAUGAUUUAAUGUCACAAUUAAAUCUGAAAACAACUCUUAACAAUGGAUAUCUAGGUUCUG